CCUCCGCUCCUUCCGCCGCAUAUGUGCAGGUAUCUCGAGAGUGCAUACAAAGACGCAUCGCUACUUUUCACAGGUAGUGACAGCCAUGGUGUGUGCCAUGCUCGCCCUCUCCUACGCCUCGGGCUCCGGCAAGUCGUCGCUGAGCGAGAGCAUCGUAUCGGAGCUCAUCCGGGGGACCGCGGCCCCAACCGCACCGACAUCUUUUGCGAAGAGUUCUACCACAGGGACGAGUCCAACAUCCCUGAGAGUGAGCGCCCCUCAACCGACUACGAUCACCCAAAGUGGCUCGAGCACGAUCUGCGGACGACGCACGUUUGCGAGCUGAAGGCAGGCAAGACGGUGCAGAUGCCCCCGUACGACUAUGUGCACCACGCCCGCUCUGGCAGCACAAUCACAACGACGCCGACGCGCAUCAUCAUGGUCGAGGGCAUUCUCUUCUUCACAAACGCGGAACUGUGUAAAGAGAUGGAUGGCCUCAUAUUCGUGGGUACAGCACGGGGCAUCUGCCUGACUCGGCGCGCUGAGUGCGACAUAAAGGAGUGCGGCCGCACCUUCAAGUCUGUCAUUGAGCAGUACGCGACGACAGUGCGUCCCGUGCACUGCGCGUACGCUGAGCCGUCCAAGUUAAGCGUCGACAUCAGCGCACCUCGGUGGAAGAACAACGGCGUGGCGUUCGGGGUUUUGAGGGUCACGCAGAGCCAUGACCCCCCCCCCCCCCCACCUCACACCAUAAAAAAAAUGUGAUGCGGCGCCACCAGGACUGCCGAAUACGAUUGUGCGCUCGGGCUGUGAACCGUUUUCGUUGAACCCGCUAAUGAAUGCUCACAUGCGGGAAGUGCUCUCCACCUCGCUAGGCUUGCUGCUCUUGUGUCUCUCUUAUCGAUGGACUGCCUCUUUCUUUGAGAGUGCUGAUAGACAAACGCACAAGCGCCCCCGCCUGCCUGCUGUACAGCUGACUUCUUCCAUAUGAAGAAUACUUAGGAUUGGAGCACGUAGCUGCGGACCAUUUUCCGUGUCAAC
rnacentral:misc_RNA from 1 species